GCGCGGGUGGCGGAAUAGGCAGACGCGCUGGAUUCAGGUUCCAGUGGCCGAAAGGCCGUGGGGGUUAAACUCGGCCCUCGGGCA
rnacentral:tRNA from 1 species